GCCCUCGUAACUUAAUUGGAUAAAGUGCAGGCCUCCGGAGCCUGACAUAGAGGUUCAAUUCCUCUCGAGGGCA
rnacentral:tRNA from 1 species